rnacentral:rRNA from 1 species
GAGCUGAAGCCAGUCGAAGAUACCAGCUGGCUGCAACUGUUUAUUAAAAACACAGCACUGUGCAAACACGAAAGUGGACGUAUACGGUGUGACGCCUGCCCGGUGCUGGAAGGUUAAUUGAUGGGGUUAUCCGUAAGGAGAAGCUCUUGAUCGAAGCCCCAGUAAACGGCGGCCGUAACUAUAACGGUCCUAAGGUAGCGAAAUUCCUUGUCGGGUAAGUUCCGACCUGCACGAAUGGCGUAAUGAUGGCCAGGCUGUCUCCACCCGAGACUCAGUGAAAUUGAAAUCGCUGUGAAGAUGCAGUGUACCCGCGGCAAGACGGAAAGACCCCGUGAACCUUUACUAUAGCUUGACACUGAACAUUGAGCCUUGAUGUGUAGGAUAGGUGGGAGGCUUAGAAGCGUGGACGCUAGUCUGCGUGGAGCCAACCUUGAAAUACCACCCUUUAAUGUUUGAUGUUCUAACGUAGACCCGUAAUCCGGGUUGCGGACAGUGUCUGGUGGGUAGUUUGACUGGGGCGGUCUCCUCCCAAAGAGUAACGGAGGAGCACGAAGGUUAGCUAAUCACGGUCGGACAUCGUGAGGUUAGUGCAAAGGCAUAAGCUAGCUUGACUGCGAGAGUGACAGUUCGAGCAGGUGCGAAAGCAGGUCUUAGUGAUCCGGUGGUUCUGAAUGGAAGGGCCAUCGCUCAACGGAUAAAAGGUACUCCGGGGAUAACAGGCUGAUACCGCCCAAGAGUUCAUAUCGACGGCGGUGUUUGGCACCUCGAUGUCGGCUCAUCACAUCCUGGGGCUGAAGUAGGUCCCAAGGGUACGGCUGUUCGCCGUUUAAAGUGGUACGCGAGCUGGGUUUAGAACGUCGUGAGACAGUUCGGUCCCUAUCUGCCGUGGGCGUUGGAGAAUUGAGGGGGGUUGCUCCUAGUACGAGAGGACCGGAGUGAACGCACCACUGGUGUUCGGGUUGUCAUGCCAAUGGCAUUGCCCGGUAGCUAAGUGCGGAAAAGAUAAGUGCUGAAAGCAUCUAAGCACGAAACUUGCCCCGAGAUGAGUUCUCCCUGACUCCUUGAGAGUCCUGAAGGGACGUUGAAGACUACGACGUUGAUAGGCUGGGUGUGUAAGUGCAGCGAUGCAUUGAGCUAACCAGUACUAAUGACCCGUGAGGCUUAACCUUACAACGCCAGAGGCGUUUUG